rnacentral:rRNA from 1 species
UACGAAGGGGGCUAGCGUUGUUCGGAAUUACUGGGCGUAAAGCGUGCGCAGGCGGUUUUGCAAGACAGAUGUGAAAUCCCCGGGCUCAACCUGGGAACUGCAUUUGUGACUGCAAGGCUAGAAUCUGGCAGAGGGGGGUAGAAUUCCACGUGUAGCAGUGAAAUGCGUAGAUAUGUGGAGGAAUACCGAUGGCGAAGGCAGCCCCCUGGGCUAAGAUUGACGCUCAUGCACGAAAGCGUGGGGAGCAAACAGG